rnacentral:rRNA from 1 species
GAUGAACGCUAGCGGGAGGCUUAACACAUGCAAGUCGAGGGGCAGCAUGGGGUAGCAAUACCCUGAUGGCGACCGGCAAACGGGUGAGUAACGCGUAUGUAACCUACCCUGUACAGGGGGAUAACCCGGAGAAAUUCGGACUAAUAUCCCAUAACAAUAUCUGGAGGCAUCUUUGGAUAUUUAAAGUUCCGGCGGUACGGGAUGGGCAUGCGUAACAUUAGCUAGUUGGUAAGGUAACGGCUUACCAAGGCUUUGAUGUUUAGGGGUCCUGAGAGGGUGGUCCCCCACACUGGUACUGAGACACGGACCAGACUCCUACGGGAGGCAGCAGUGAGGAAUAUUGGUCAAUGGGCGCAAGCCUGAACCAGCCAUCCCGCGUGCAGGAAGACGGCCCUAUGGGUUGUAAACUGCUUUUCCAGGGAGAGAAACUUGCGCACGUGUUGCGCAAUUGACGGUACCCUGGGAAUAAGCAUCGGCUAACUCCGUG